rnacentral:ncRNA from 1 species
CAAGAGACAUGGAAGAGGAGUAAUAAGGAACCUGGCCUUUUCAGAGAGCCGCCGGAUGGUGCGAGGCGGUAAGGAGAAGUCCCCAACUCGCCUUGGAGUCCUCCGGGGGAAGCCUGUUCAUGCAGGAGCAGGAAAGUAGUCCGGAGCGGGAAUUCCCGUUACAGAACAAUAAGUGCGUACCGGUUUGCAGUCAAAGCAGAUGGUACGAAUUAGAGUGGUACCACGGAAACAAGCCCUUUCGUCUCUAAC